GAAGCUUCUAAUUUAUACAAAAUUAAAAUAUGUUCUCUCAAAAGCAAUGUUGUUUUCACAGGGCUAAGCUGAAUAUUUCAGCAACAACUUUAUGUAUUCAACAUUAAUGGAGAAAAGAAAACCAAGCUGUUUUUGAACGAUGGAGCCAAGAAGAACUAUGACUUCAUGUAUUUAGUCACCUAGCCAGCUCUUCACGUGAUAGCCACAUAAAAAUUAAUCAGAUGAUGAGAAUGUGUGUACUUUUGGACAGAGAGCUGAUACUAAAAGAAGUGUACAAAGUUGUGCCCUCCCAAGAGAUGCCUACCUUGUGUCUCUGCACACAGAGUGGUAGUUUUCUCUCAGUUUUUCUUGUAAUUUCAUUUAGAAUUUGUUGAAAUUCAUCACCAAGUUCAGAAAGCUAUUAAAGAGUCAGGAAGAUUGAAUAAAAUACUUCUCUUCAGUGAAAAGGCUAAGAAAAUGCCUUCAUUUUUGCAAAGGAUGUCAUAUACCUGUGAAGCUUGGAAUGAUUUUUACAGCUCAGCUCCCUGGCCUGGCUCCCUGCAGGAAGGAGAUAGUUGGUUACACUAUGCUGAAGCAGAUUUCUCAGUCAACUCAAUUCUUCCUUGUAAUCCUUGAAAACCACUUCUUUAGGAACAUUAUUUCAGAGCCCAGCAAAGAUGACUCUGGCAUAUAUUAAAAGUGGAAUUUAAAUAAAGUAAUUUACUCUGCCCA
rnacentral:lncRNA from 1 species